rnacentral:rRNA from 1 species
CAGGUUUACCUGUGUGACUGCGUACCUUUUGUAUAAUGGGUCAGCGACUUAUAUUCUGUAGCAAGGUUAACCGUAUAGGGGAGCCGUAGGGAAACCGAGUCUUAACCGGGCGUUAAGUUGCAGGGUAUAGACCCGAAACCCGGUGAUCUAGCCAUGGGCAGGUUGAAGGUUGGGUAACACUAACUGGAGGACCGAACCGACUAAUGUUGAAAAAUUAGCGGAUGACCUGUGGCUGGGGGUGAAAGGCCAAUCAAACCGGGAGAUAGCUGGUUCUCCCCGAAAGCUAUUUAGGUAGCGCCUCGUGAAUUCAUCUCCGGGGGUAGAGCACUGUUUCGGCUAGGGGGCCAUCCCGGCUUACCAACCCGAUGCAAACUGCGAAUACCGGAGAAUGUUAUCACGGGAGACACACGGCGGGUGCUAACGUCCGUCGUGAAGAGGGAAACAACCCAGACCGCCAGCUAAGGUCCCAAAGUCAUGGUUAAGUGGGAAACGAUGUGGGAAGGCCCAGACAGCCAGGAUGUUGGCUUAGAAGCAGCCAUCAUUUAAAGAAAGCGUAAUAGCUCACUGGUCGAGUCGGCCUGCGCGGAAGAUGUAACGGGGCUAAACCAUGCACCGAAGCUGCGGCAGCGACACUGUGUGUUGUUGGGUAGGGGAGCGUUCUGUAAGCCUGUGAAGGUGGCCUGUGAGGGUUGCUGGAGGUAUCAGAAGUGCGAAUGCUGACAUAAGUAACGAUAAAGCGGGUGAAAAGCCCGCUCGCCGGAAGACCAAGGGUUCCUGUCCAACGUUAAUCGGGGCAGGGUGAGUCGACCCCUAAGGCGAGGCCGAAAGGCGUAGUCGAUGGGAAACGGGUUAAUAUUCCCGUACUUGGUGUUACUGCGAAGGGGGGACGGAGAAGGCUAUGUUGGCCGGGCGACGGUUGUCCCGGUUUAAGCGUGUAGGUGUGUGUUCCAGGUAAAUCCGGUUCACUUUAACACUGAGGCGUGACGACGAGGCACUACGGUGCUGAAGCAACAAAUGCCCUGCUUCCAGGAAAAGCCUCUAAGCAUCAGGUAACAUCAAAUCGUACCCCAAACCGACACAGGUGGUCAGGUAGAGAAUACCAAGGCGCUUGAGAGAACUCGGGUGAAGGAACUAGGCAAAAUGGUGCCGUAACUUCGGGAGAAGGCACGCUGACACGUAGGUGAAGUGAUUUACUCAUGGAGCUGAAGUCAGUCGAAGAUACCAGCUGGCUGCAACUGUUUAUUAAAAACACAGCACUGUGCAAACACGAAAGUGGACGUAUACGGUGUGACGCCUGCCCGGUGCCGGAAGGUUAAUUGAUGGGGUCAGCGCAAGCGAAGCUCCUGAUCGAAGCCCCGGUAAACGGCGGCCGUAACUAUAACGGUCCUAAGGUAGCGAAAUUCCUUGUCGGGUAAGUUCCGACCUGCACGAAUGGCGUAAUGAUGGCCAGGCUGUCUCCACCCGAGACUCAGUGAAAUUGAACUCGCUGUGAAGAUGCAGUGUACCCGCGGCAAGACGGAAAGACCCCGUGAACCUUUACUAUAGCUUGACACUGAACAUUGAGCCUUGAUGUGUAGGAUAGGUGGGAGGCUUUGAAGUGUGGACGCCAGUCUGCAUGGAGCCGACCUUGAAAUACCACCCUUUAAUGUUUGAUGUUCUAACGUGGACCCGUAAUCCGGGUUGCGGACAGUGUCUGGUGGGUAGUUUGACUGGGGCGGUCUCCUCCUAAAGAGUAACGGAGGAGCACGAAGGUUGGCUAAUCCUGGUCGGACAUCAGGAGGUUAGUGCAAUGGCAUAAGCCAGCUUGACUGCGAGCGUGACGGCGCGAGCAGGUGCGAAAGCAGGUCAUAGUGAUCCGGUGGUUCUGAAUGGAAGGGCCAUCGCUCAACGGAUAAAAGGUACUCCGGGGAUAACAGGCUGAUACCGCCCAAGAGUUCAUAUCGACGGCGGUGUUUGGCACCUCGAUGUCGGCUCAUCACAUCCUGGGGCUGAAGUAGGUCCCAAGGGUAUGGCUGUUCGCCAUUUAAAGUGGUACGCGAGCUGGGUUUAGAACGUCGUGAGACAGUUCGGUCCCUAUCUGCCGUGGGCGCUGGAGAACUGAGGGGGGCUGCUCCUAGUACGAGAGGACCGGAGUGGACGCAUCACUGGUGUUCGGGUUGUCAUGCCAAUGGCACUGCCCGGUAGCUAAAUGCGGAAGAGAUAAGUGCUGAAAGCAUCUAAGCACGAAACUUGCCCCGAGAUGAGUUCUCCCUGAGACUUAGAGUCUCCUGAAGGAACGUUGAAGACGACGACGUUGAUAGGCCGGGUGUGUAAGCGCAGCGAUGCGUUGAGCUAACCGGUACUAAUGAACCGUGAGGCUUAACCUUACAA